AUACGGAGGGUGCAAGCGUUGUUCGGAAUCACUGGGCGUAAAGGGCGCGCAGGCGGUCCUGCAAGUCAGAUGUGAAAGCCCACGGCUCAACCGUGGAAGUGCAUUUGAAACUGCAGGACUUGAGUAUCAGAGGGGAAAGUGGAAUUCCCGGUGUAGAGGUGAAAUUCGUAGAUAUCGGGAGGAAUACCGGUGGCGAAGGCGACUUUCUGGCUGAAUACUGACGCUGAGGCGCGAAAGCGUGGGGAGCAAACAGGAUUAGAAACCCUAGUAGUCC
rnacentral:rRNA from 1 species